rnacentral:rRNA from 1 species
UGCUUGCACUUGGGGAUUAGUGGCGAACGGGUGAGUAACACGUGAGUAACCUGCCCUGGACUCUGGGAUAACCCCGAGAAAUCGGAGCUAAUACCGGAUAGGACCCUUCACCGCAUGGUGCGGGGUGGAAAGUUUUUCGGUCUGGGAUGGACUCGCGGCCUAUCAGCUUGUUGGUGAGGUAAUGGCUCACCAAGGCGUCGACGGGUAGCCGGCCUGAGAGGGUGACCGGCCACACUGGGACUGAGACACGGCCCAGACUCCUACGGGAGGCAGCAGUGGGGAAUAUUGCACAAUGGGCGAAAGCCUGAUGCAGCAACGCCGCGUGCGGGAUGACGGCCUUCGGGUUGUAAACCGCUUUUAGUAAGGAAGAAGCCGCAAGGUGACGGUACUUGCAGAAAAAGGACCGGCUAACUACGUGCCAGCAGCCGCGGUAAUACGUAGGGUCCGAGCGUUGUCCGGAAUUAUUGGGCGUAAAGAGCUCGUAGGCGGUUUGUCGCGUCUGCUGUGAAAACUAGAGGCUCAACCUCUAGCCUGCAGUGGGUACGGGCAGACUUGAGUGGUGUAGGGG